rnacentral:rRNA from 1 species
GAUGAACGCUAGCUACAGGCUUAACACAUGCAAGUCGAGGGGCAGCAUGAUCUUAGCUUGCUAAGAUUGAUGGCGACCGGCGCACGGGUGAGUAACGCGUAUCCAACCUUCCCCUUAGUAGGGCAUAGCCCGGCGAAAGUCGGAUUAAUACCCUAUGUAUUCCUUUGAGAGCAUUUGAUUGGGAACAAAGAUUUAUCGCUAAGGGAUGGGGAUGCGUCUGAUUAGCUUGUUGGCGGGGUAACGGCCCACCAAGGCGACGAUCAGUAGGGGUUCUGAGAGGAAGGUCCCCCACAUUGGAACUGAGACACGGUCCAAACUCC